rnacentral:rRNA from 1 species
UACGGAGGGGCAAGCGUUAUUCGGAAUCAUUGGGCGUAAAGGGCGCGUAGGUCGGCUUGGCAAGUCAAAUGGUGAAAUCCCUCGGCCCAACCGAGGAACUGCCUUUGAUACUGCCUUGGCUCGAGGCCGGGAGAGGGUAGCGGAAUUCCAGUGUAGCGGUGAAUGACGUAGAUAUUGGGAGGAACACCAGUGGCGAAGGCGGCUACCUGGACCGGUUCUGACGCUGAUGCGCGAAAGCGUGG